GUCCAUCUGACGAGUCCCAAAUAUGACGAAGUGCACGUCCUGGAU
rfam:Schistosoma curassoni strain Dakar, Senegal genome assembly, scaffold: SCTD_scaffold0010613